UCCAUUCGGCAUCCCUGAUCACUAAGCCUAUCUUUGGAAGCGCAGGGAAAGGGCAAAGGUACACUGUACGCCCAGUGGUAAUCCAUCACAGGUCACAAACACCUUAAUUUAAACUGUGCAUCUUUGGAGCCACGUGAAAAAACAAACUCCAUUCACAGGAAUCAAACCCACAACUUAAGAGAAUCCUGUCCAGCACCAAAGCUAUACACCUACUGAAAAAACUGUUUUUCUUUUUGAUGGGAACCUGAGAUAAAUGACUUAACACGCUGCCUCCUCGCGGAGUCCAGUUGCUCUUUCUCCUCAUUUCCAUGGCAGCCUGACCUGCUGCGGACACCUGUGCUGCUCUUGUGACUGACAUAUGAGGUCACGCUGACACCCGUACAGGCUUAUCAUCAGCCGUGGUUGCAGUGGGGAUCCAGUUAAGCAGAGACAAGAAAGAUUCGCAACGGAAGCGAUGUCUUAUCCUUCGGUGAAUAAGAGGCUGCCACCAUGUGUCCGGAAUUAACUUCAGGAGGAUUUGGGUGCUUUAGCAAAAGAGAGGCUGGUGUAUUUUGGGAACAACAACACUGCAGGCGCACACGGAGACCUGCACCACUUCUUGCGCUCAAGAAAGACACUUUCUUGACAACCACUGCAUCAAACGGAUCCAUUAUGCAUGCAAGGUGGGAGCUCACCUGAAGCACAUCACUGCCUUGUGCUUUUCAGGGGAGACACGCAACAAAAUCGAACACACCAAAAGUUCUGACUAGGGAAGGGAGGGGCACCAGACCACUCCCUUUUACCACUUGGAGAGAACCUUGAGGUAGUGAGUUUUGCAGGAGGUUGGAGGUGGGGUUGUUCUACAAUAUGACAACAGACCCCCAGUCGCCCAACUGUCAAGGGGACCGGAGUGACUCCCAAGGCACCAAGUCUGGGAAUCUGCUUACAUUCAGUCAUGGUCAAAUGUGGAGCAUGGUUAAAUUUUCCAAGAAAACUAGGCUUAUAGUUAUGAAGGACGAAUUUUUUAUUUCCAGCCUGAGCUGGGGAUUAAUUAUUCCUUCUUAAUUAGUGCCAAUAUUUAAUUAGAAACAUCAUUUAUUUAGGCUGAAGAUUUCUGGUGCAGUCGCCCGCCUUACAGGCCUGAAAUAGAUUCAGACCGUGAUGCCCUUAUUCUGCGAAACAUUUCUCCUGGCAAUACACCUGUGUCUGCUAUUUCUGUGAAUUAGUGUGCAUGUGAGGUCAGGAUGGAAGAGCUGCUUUCAACAUAAAUAAACCACUU